rnacentral:rRNA from 1 species
AUACCGGAUAGGAUCAUGGCCUUCAUGGGUUGUGGUGGAAAGCUUUUGCGGUGUGGGAUGGGCCCGCGGCCUAUCAGCUUGUUGGUGGGGUAAUGGCCUACCAAGGCGACGACAGGUAGCCGGCCUGAGAGGGUGUCCGGCCACACUGGGACUGAGAUACGGCCCAGACUCCUACAGGAGGCAGCAGUGGGGAAUAUUGCACAAUGGGCGCAAGCCUGAUGCAGCGACGCCGCGUGAGGGAUGACAGCCUUCGGGUUGUAAACCUCUUUCAGCAGGGACGAAGCGCAAGUGACGGUACCUGUAGAAGAAGGACCGGCCAACUACGUGCCAGCAGCCGCGGUAAUACGUAGGGUCCGAGCGUUGUCCGGAAUUACUGGGCGUAAAGAGCUCGUAUGUGGUUUGUCGCGUUGUUCGUGAAAACUCACAGCUUAUCUGUGGGCGUGCGGGCGAUACGGGCAGACUUGAGUACUGCGGGGAGACUGGAUUCCUGGUGUACGCUGGAAGCGCAAUAUCCGAGGAAACCGGUGGCGAAGCGGGUCUCUGGGCAUAACUGACCUGAGGACGAAACGUGGGAGCGAACAGGAUUUAUACCUGGUAUCCCGCCUAAACGGGGGUACUAGGGUGGGUUCCUUCUUGGAUCCUGCCUAGCUAAGCAUUAAUACCCGCCUGGGAGUACGGCGCAAGCUAAACUCAAGAAAUGACGGGGCCC